CCGGCGCGGGCCGGCAGCGCAGAGCGGCCAGAGGCAGGACGGAGUCACCGCGCCGCGACCGCAGGUUCGAGCCCCGAGGCGAUGGAGUCCGUGUGGGGCUGCGUCCUGCUGGGCGCGCUGCUGAGCCAAGCGGCGGCCCUGCGAUGUUACUCUUGUGAUGGGGCCCGGAGCUGCCAGGAGACGGAGGACUGUGGGGAGCAGCAGGGCCGGUGUCGCACGACUGUCCUCACCAUGAUCGCCCGCUCCGAGGUCUCCAAGCGGAUCCAGAAGGGCUGCGACGUGG